CCUACGGGAGGCAGCAGUCGAGAAUCAUUCACAAUGGGGGAAACCCUGAUGGUGCGACGCCGCGUGGGGGAAUGAAGGUCUUCGGAUUGUAAACCCCUGUCAUGUGGGAGCAAAUUAAAAAGAUAGUACCACAAGAGGAAGAGACGGCUAACUCUGUGCCAGCAGCCGCGGUAAUACAGAGGUCUCAAGCGUUGUUCGGAAUCACUGGGCGUAAAGCGUGCGUAGGCUGUUUCGUAAGUCGUGUGUGAAAGGCGCGGGCUCAACCCGCGGACGGCACAUGAUACUGCGAGACUAGAGUAAGGGAGGGGGAGCCGGAAUUCGCGGUGUAGCAGUGAAAUGCGUAGAUAGCGAGAGGAACACUCGUGGCGAAGGCAGGUUCCUGGACAUUAACUGACGCUGAGGCACGAAGGCCAGGGGAGCGAAAGGGAUUAGAUACCCUUGUAGUC
rnacentral:rRNA from 1 species